rnacentral:rRNA from 1 species
CGGGACGGGUGAGUAACGCGUGGGUAACCUGCCUUGUACUGGGGGACGAACAGUUAGAAAUGACUGCUAAUACCGCAUAAGCGCACAGUAUCGCAUGAUACAGUGUGAAAAACUCCGGUGGUACAAGAUGGACCCGCGUCUGAUUAGCUAGUUGGUAAGGUAAGGGCUUACCAAGGCGACGAUCAGUAGCCGACCUGAGAGGGUGAACGGCCACAUUGGGACUGAGACACGGCCCAG